rnacentral:rRNA from 1 species
AGAGUUUGAUCCUGGCUCAGGACGAACGCUGGCGGCGCGCCUAACACAUGCAAGUCGAACGAGCAAGAGAGAGCUUGCUUUCUCGAGCGAGUGGCGAACGGGUGAGUAACGCGUGAGGAACCUGCCUCAAAGAGGGGGACAACAGUUGGAAACGACUGCUAAUACCGCAUAAGCCCACGGUGCCGCAUGGCACAGAGGGAAAAGGAGCAAUCCGCUUUGAGAUGGCCUCGCGUCCGAUUAGCUAGUUGGUGAGGUAACGGCCCACCAAGGCAACGAUCGGUAGCCGGACUGAGAGGUUGAACGGCCACAUUGGGACUGAGGCACGGCCCAGACUCCUACGGGAGGCAGCAGUGGGGAAUAUUGCACAAUGGGGGAAACCCUGAUGCAGCGACGCCGCGUGGAGGAAGAAGGUCUUCGGAUUGUAAACUCCUGUUGUUGGGGAAGAUAAUGACGGUACCCAACAAGGAAGUGACGGCUAACUACGUGCCAGCAGCCGCGGUAAAACGUAGGUCACAAGCGUUGUCCGGAAUUACUGGGUGUAAAGGGAGCGCAGGCGGGAAGACAAGUUGGAAGUGAAAUCUAUGGGCUCAACCCAUAAACUGCUUUCAAAACUGUUUUUCUUGAGUAGUGCAGAGGUAGGCGGAAUUCCCGGUGUAGCGGUGGAAUGCGUAGAUAUCGGGAGGAACACCAGUGGCGAAGGCGGCCUACUGGGCACCAACUGACGCUGAGGCUCGAAAGUGUGGGUAGCAAACAGGAUUAGAUACCCUGGUAGUCCACACCGUAAACGAUGAUUACUAGGUGUUGGAGGAUUGACCCCUUCAGUGCCGCAGUUAACACAAUAAGUAAUCCACCUGGGGAGUACGACCGCAAGGUUGAAACUCAAAGGAAUUGACGGGGGCCCGCACAAGCAGUGGAGUAUGUGGUUUAAUUCGACGCAACGCGAAGAACCUUACCAAGUCUUGACAUCCCUUGACAGACAUAGAAAUAUGUAAUCUCUUCGGAGCAAGGAGACAGGUGGUGCAUGGUUGUCGUCAGCUCGUGUCGUGAGAUGUUGGGUUAAGUCCCGCAACGAGCGCAACCCUUAUGGUCAGUUACUACGCAAGAGGACUCUGGCCAGACUGCCGUUGACAAAACGGAGGAAGGUGGGGAUGACGUCAAAUCAUCAUGCCCUUUAUGACUUGGGCUACACACGUACUACAAUGGCGUUAAACAAAGAGAAGCAAGACCGCGAGGUGGAGCAAAACUCAGAAACAACGUCCCAGUUCGGACUGCAGGCUGCAACUCGCCUGCACGAAGUCGGAAUUGCUAGUAAUCGUGGAUCAGCAUGCCACGGUGAAUACGUUCCCGGGCCUUGCACACACCGCCCGUC